rfam:Schistosoma rodhaini strain Burundi genome assembly, scaffold: SROB_scaffold0006443
AUCCAGCUGACGAGUCCCAAAUAGGAUGAAACAGGCGUCAAACUGGAU